rnacentral:rRNA from 1 species
UAGUAGCGGCGAGCGAGCGGGAAGAAGCUCAAAUUUAUAAUCUGGCACCUUCGGUGUCCGAGUUGUAAUCUCUAGAAGUGUUUUCCGCGUUGGACCGCACACAAGUCUGUUGGAAUACAGCGGCAUAGUGGUGAAACCCCCGUAUAUGGUGCGGACGCCCAGCGCUUUGUGAUACACUUUCAAUGAGUCGAGUUGUUUGGGAAUGCAGCUCAAAUUGGGUGGUAAAUUCCAUCUAAAGCUAAAUAUUGGCGAGAGACCGAUAGCGAACAAGUACCGUGAGGGAAAGAUGAAAAGCACUUUGGAAAGAGAGUUAACAGUACGUGAAAUUGUUGGAAGGGAAACGCUUGAAGUCAGACUUGCUUGCCGGAGCUUGCUUCGGUUUGCAGGCCAGCAUCAGUUUUCCGGGGUGGAUAAUGACGGUUUGAAGGUAGCAGUCUCGGCUGUGUUAUAGCUUUCCGUUGGAUACAUCCUGGGGGACUGAGGAACGCAGCGUGCUUUUUGCGAAAGACUCGUCUUUUUCACGCUUAGGAUGCUGGUGGAAUGGCUUUAAACGACCCGUCUUGA